AUCUUGAUAAAUAGACACCCUAUACUACAUCUAUAUAUACUCACCAUUCGCCACUAUUUAGUUUCAUAAAAAAAACAUUGCACUCAAGAGAAAAAAAAAAAGAUACAAAGAAAAAGAGACUAACGAUAUGGCGGCAACAAAGAUGGUGAAGCUAGCAAUCUUUAUAGCAUUUUUAAUCACUGUUUCUCAUAUUUGCCAAGUGGCGGAGGCGAGAUACAAAGUAAUCAACUUCAGGUGCGAGAAAGCAGAGGAUUGUGCAGCGAAGCUGAAAGAUUUGUGUGGAAAUUAUGAUUGUGUUGAUAACAAAUGCAGAUGUGUGUCGGAAUUUUUGGACCACAAAACAAACUCCGUCGACAGAAACGGUCCAUAGGCUUCAGUUAUAUAUUUGGCAAAUUCUAAGCCUAUGAUCUCAUAUAAUGUUAUGUGUCGAUUAUAAUAAAAUGGUUAUAUAUAGACCUCCAUUCGAGA